rnacentral:rRNA from 1 species
CCUACGGGUGGCAGCAGUGGGGAAUAUUGCACAAUGGGGGAAACCCUGAUGCAGCAACGCCGCGUGAAGGAAGACGGCUCUCGGAUUGUAAACUUCUGUUCUUAGUGAAGAAUAAUGACGGUAGCUAAGGAGCAAGCCACGGCUAACUACGUGCCAGCAGCCGCGGUCAUACGGGGGAAGCAAGCGUUUACCGGGUUUAAUGGGUUUAAAGGGUGCGUUAGAUGUGAGGUAAGUCAGCGGUGAAAUGCCCCCGCUGAACGGGGUGAAGUGCCAUUGAUACUGCCUUGCUGGAGUGCGGAUGCCGUGGGAGGAAUGUGUGGUGUAGCGGUGAAAUGCAUAGAUAUCACACAGAACACCGAUUGCGAAGGCAUCUCACGAAUCCGCGAUUGACGCUGAUGCACGAAAGCGUGGGUAUCAAACAGGAUUAGAUACCCCAGUAGUC